rnacentral:rRNA from 1 species
AUGGCAGAAUGCUUCAAUAAGGUGCUCAAGGGUGUACGUGCAUUACCCGUGACGGCAAUAGUUCAAUACACAUUUGACAAGAUGAAUGGAUACUUUUUAAAGUACUCAAUGGAGACGGAUAAGCAGAUUGCUGGUGAGAACAAGGAUAAGCACAAGUACUAUUUCCCACCAAAGGUUGAAGAAUGGUUGGACUUUCAAUCACGAAAGGCAGACUCCCAAGAAGCUGUACUAUAUGACGACAACGAGUGGAAGUAUGAAGUGAAAGAGCCUGGAGGAACCACAAACGAUGGGCACCAACACGGAGGCCGCGCUUUCAAGGUCUCCCUAACACGGUGUGAUUGCAGCUGCAUGAGGCCAUCGUUGCUUCAUCUCCCAUGCUCGCACUUGUUAAAUGUAUCCCGUGUUAGGAAUGUGGACGUCAAUCACCCUCUUACCGUGAGGGAGUCCGAGUUCUCAAUCAUGACGGUAAAGAAUACAUGGGCUCCCUGGUUUCAGCCAUACUUGGACCAAUCACAAUGGCCGGAGUAUCAUGGAGUUCAACUAUGGCCGGACCCGGAAUUGAAGGUUGUUAGACGGGGAAGACGUAAGACAAAGCGUCUUAGAGGUGACAUGGACGGAUGGGGCCGUGGUGGCGGUGGAGAAUACGGCACCGGCCAAUUCCAAGAGCCUCGUGAGCAAAGCCGUUGUGGGGACUGCAGUGGGGAUGGUCUUGGCCGUGGUGAAGGCCUAGUCGUGGGGAUGGUCUUGGCCGUGGUGAAGGCCUAG